rnacentral:lncRNA from 1 species
CAAAGACAGGAUAUUGAUCCAUUCAUGACACCGUGAGUCAAAACAAGAGAGGAAAAACUCCAAUUAGCGAAGCACCCGCGGUGGUGAACCAUUGAGUCUCCUCUGCUGGAGCUCACCUUGUUUCCGGAGGAAAAACUCCAGCUCCCUAUAAAAGACCUCAUAACCAUUUCUCCUCAUUCUCUCAUCUUCACAUCUCCUCUUGUGCUCCCACCGAACAGAGUAAGUCUGGCUCCUCGCAGUGCUGUGCUUUACGCGCUCUCCAGCUUUGCCCCUAUCUCAAAUUCUUGGCCUUCUCUCACGCUUCUCGUCUCCACUUCUCUCUCUGGAUGCAUUUGCUUAUUCCUUGUGGCUUCCUUAUCUUGUCCUGUAUGGAAAUAAUAGAGAGAAGUGAGAAAAACUCAGAAUUUGCUGCUUCAAACUGCUGAUGGUGAGACUCUUCCAGUCAAGCUCUAGAUCCUUUCUGGCCACCACUUCUCACUCAUCCCUGAGCGCUCUAACAUCUACCUUCUGUCUUUGCUAAGCACUGAGGUGAAAGAUUUGCUCAAAAGAGGGCAUGGAGGGCGAUGAGCACUGCUAAUUUUAAUCCACAUUCCAAGAACCAGGCCUAUAAAGAUCAUCUGUUCUUGAUCCAUAAUCUUGCCUUUGCAAGACUCAAAGGUGAUGGUCUUUCCUGCAGGUCUGCAAAGAUGUGCUCCCGCCAGGACAAGGACCAGUGCCACCGACAGGACCAGUCCUCGUGCCACAGCAGUGAGGGGUGUGGAGGGGGCAGCGGGGGCUCCGGGUGCCAUGGGAGCAGUGGAUCCAGGUGCCAUAGCAGCAGUGGAGCAGUGGAUCUGGAUGCCAUAGGAGCAGUGGAUCUGGAUGCCAUGGGAGCAGCGGGGGAUCCUGCCAUGGAAAGCCACAAGAUUGUCAGCAGCAAAUUUAUCAAGUAUCCUCAAAUAUGAAGUGACCAGGACAUCUCCUGCUGUUCUGCACAAGUUCAGGAAUCCUUGCAUGUCUCCCAGCACUCAAAGAACAUAAUUUCUCUUCUCUCCCCCCACUUCCCCAGCCAGUCUUGAAUAUCCAAUGGGUUUAUCUGUGGGCACCAGAAAUGCACUGCACGUGUUCACGCUGGCGCGGUGUUCUCUCUAUCCAUCUUUGACAAUAAACGAGCCAUUGCAAUUUGCA